UGGUGGAGUGAUUUGUCUGGUUAAUUCCGAUAACGAACGAGACCUUAACCUGCUAACUAGCCCGGCCGACUUUGGUUAGCUGCUGGCUUCUUAGAGGGACUAUUGGCGUCUAGCUAAUGGAAGUUUGAGGCAAUAACA
rnacentral:rRNA from 1 species